rnacentral:lncRNA from 1 species
GGGUGUUGUUGCCGUAGAGGUGAGUCUUGUAUUAUGUGAAUAAUGAAGAAUUUCUUGAUGAAGGGGCUAAUGAAGAAUUUGAUGUGUCGUUGUUAAAUGUAUGUGUUAGGAUAUUUACCAUAUUUAUCAUGAUAUAUUGUGUCAAGGGUUACCCUAUUUAUCAUGAUUAUAUUGUGUCUAGGGUUACCUAUUUAUCAUGAUAUAAUCAUGAUUAUAUCGUCGGUCACCGUUGUCCAUCACCGGCCAUCGUCCGCCAUCACUGGCCACUACCGUCCGCACCGACCACUGUCACAAUUUCGUCCAUCUAAACCCUUAGGGUUUUCUUUUUCCUCACUGGUGCGGUUCAUCUUCUUCAGAGAUGGUGUCUGAUAGUAACUUUUCCUUCUCUAGAAGUCCAUUAAUUACCUUCGAGAAGCUAAAUGGAAAAACUUCGAAGACUAAAACUCCCACCUCUAAGUUCACCGAGGAUAAAUAUCAAGAGUAUUUAAGGUUAAAGUCUAAUUGUUUGACAUAGCC